rnacentral:rRNA from 1 species
CGGUUCGUCCGCCCUGGGUUAGUCGGGACCUAAGCCGAGGCCGAAAGGCGUAGGUGAUGGACAACAGGUUGAUAUUCCUGUACCGCCAAUAAGCGUUUGAGAGAUGGAGUGACACAGUAGGAUAAGCUAACCGUACUGUUGGUUAUGUACGGCUAAGCAUUGAGGCAGUCUAAAUAGGCAAAUCCGUUUAGACAAUGCUAGGAUGUAAUGGGGAAGCCCUUCGGGGCGAAGUAGCUGAUUUCACACUGUCAAGAAAAGCUUCUAUCGAGUUUAAAGGCGCCCGUACCGUAAACCGACACAGGUGGGUGAGGAGAGUAUCCUAAGGCCAGCGAGAGAACUAUUGUUAAGGAACUCGGCAAAAUGACCCCGUAACUUAGGGAGAAGGGGUGCCUGUCUAUGACAGGCCGCAGAGAAUAGGCCCAAGCGACUGUUUACCAAAAACACAGGUUUCUGCUAAGUCGCAAGACGAUGUAUAGGAGCUGACGCCUGCCCGGUGCUGGAAGGUUAAGGGGAUCUGUAGAGCAAUCGAAGCAGUGAACUUAAGCCCCAGUAAACGGCGGCCGUAACAAUAACGGUCCUAAGGUAGCGAAAUUCCUUGUCGGGUAAGUUCCGACCCGCACGAAAGGCGUAACGAUUUGGGCACUGUCUCAACAAUAGACUCGGUGAAAUUGUAAUCCCGGUGAAGAUGCCGGGUACCUGCGACAGGACGGAAAGACCCCAUGGAGCUUUACUGUAGCUUGACGUUGGGUCUUGGUACUACAUGUACAGGAUAGGUGGGAGACUAUGAAGCAUGGACGCCAGUCUGUGUGGAGUCAUCCUUGGGAUACCACCCUUGUAGUACUGGGAUCCUAACCAUAGGCCUUGAAUCAGGUCUUGGAACACCGUCAGGUGGGCAGUUUGACUGGGGCGGUCGCCUCCUAAAAAGUAACGGAGGCGCUCAAAGGUUUCCUCAGCACGGUCGGAAAUCGUGCGAAGAGUGUAAAGGCAAAAGGAAGCUUGAUUGCAAGACAUACAGGUCGAGCAAGGACGAAAGUCGGACUUAGUGAUCCGGUGGUACCGCAUGGAAGGGCCAUCGCUCAACGGAUAAAAGCUACCCUGGGGAUAACAGGCUUAUCUCCCCCAAGAGUCCACAUCGACGGGGAGGUUUAGCACCUCGAUGUCGGCUCAUCACAUCCUGGGGCUGUAGUAGGUCCCAAGGGUUGGGCUGUUCGCCCAUUAAAGUGGUACGCGAGCUGGGUUCAGAACGUCGUGAGACAGUUCGGUCCCUAUCCGUCGCAGGCGUAGGAAAUUUGAGAAGACCUGUCCUUAGUACGAGAGGACCGGGAUGGACGUACCUCUGGUGUACCAGUUGUUCUGCCAAGGGCAUGGCUGGGUAGCUAUGUACGGAAUGGAUAAGCGCUGAAAGCAUCUAAGCGCGAAGCCAACUUCAAGAUAAGAUUUCCCACCGUAAGGGUAAGACCCCAGGAAGACUACCUGGUUGAUAGGUCGAAGGUGCAAGUGCAGUAAUGUAUUUAGCUUAUCGAUACUAAUAGGUCGAGGACUUGAUC